rnacentral:rRNA from 1 species
GAUUACCUCAGUAACGGCGAGUGAAGCGGUAACAGCUCAAAUUUGAAAUCUGGGUCUUUCAGGCUCCGAGUUGUAAUUUGUAGAAGAUGCUUCGGGUGCGGCUCCGGUCUAAGUUCCUUGGAACAGGACGUCAUAGAGGGUGAGAAUCCCGUAUGUGAUCGGUUGCUUGCGCCCAUGUGAAGCUCUUUCGACGAGUCGAGUUGUUUGGGAAUGCAGCUCCAAAUGGGUGGUAUAUUUCAUCUAAAGCUAAAUAUUGGCCAGAGACCGAUAGCGCACAAGUAGAGUGAUCGAAAGAUGAAAAGCACUUUGGAAAGAGAGUUAAACAGUACGUGAAAUUGUUGAAAGGGAAGCGCUUGCAACCAGACUUGCGUGUCGUCGAUCAUCCGGGGUUCUCCCCGGUGCACUCGGCUUCACUCAGGCCAGCAUCGGUUUCGGUGGUUGGAUAAAGGCCUUGGGAAUGUAGCUCCUCUCGGGGAGUGUUAUAGCCCUCGGUGCAAUGCAGCCUACCGGGACCGAGGACCGCGCUUCGGCUAGGAUGCUGGCGUAAUGGUUGUAAGCGACCCGUCUUGAAACACGGACCAAGGAGUCUAACAUCUAUGCGAGUGUUUGGGUGUCAAACCCAUACGCGUAAUGAAAGUGAACGGAGGUGAGAACCCUUAAGGGUGCAUCAUCGACCGAUCCUGAUGUCUUCGGAUGGAUUUGAGUAAGAGCAUAGCUGUUGGGACCCGAAAGAUGGUGAACUAUGCCUGAAUAGGGUGAAGCCAGAGGAAACUCUGGUGGAGGCUCGCAGCGGUUCUGACGUGCAAAUCGAUCGUCAAAUUUGGGUAUAGGGGCGAAAGACUAAUCGAACCAUCUAGUAGCUGGUUCCUGC